rnacentral:lncRNA from 1 species
UGUGGGGCGGGGGCGAGGUUCGGGCUGGUUGUUCCGUUGCGAGCUGCAGCUGCGAUCUCUGUGGUAGGCCCAGGUCAAGAGUCUUCAUCUCCAGCUGCCUCAGUUUUCUUAUCACUAAAACAGCAAUGACCCUGACUUUUUUCGUUUGUGGAAGUACUGUUGUAGUCUGUUCUGUAAUUCUAGACAGUCUGACGUGUGUAUUAUGAUUUAGAAGCUUGUUAAAUAGCCAAAACCGGCUCCUGCCAUGAACAACUUGUGGAGCAAAUCGGGCUCAGUUUGUUCUUUGCCGGGAGAUGUAUUUUGUGAGCCAAUGUUCAUACGUUAAUGAUAAGUUUUACUGCAGCCAUUUGGGCUUAAUUGCAUUUUGUAAGAGAGUUGUGUUGAGGUUUCUGUAAGAAGUGAUUUGAUU